rnacentral:rRNA from 1 species
AGAGUUUGAUCCUGGCUCAGAAUGAACGCUGGCGGCGUGUUUAAGACAUGCAAGUCGAACGGAGUAACAUGAGUAGCAAUACAAGUGUUGCUCAGUGGCGCACGGGUGCGUAACACGUGAGUUACAUGCCCUGCAGAGAGGGAUAGCCCAGGGAAACUUGGAUUAAUACCUCAUGGUCUCGCAAGAGUAAAGAUGGCCGUAAGGCUGUCGCUGCAGGAUUGGCUCGCGGCCUAUCAGCUAGUUGGUGAGGUAACGGCUCACCAAGGCUACGACGGGUACCUGGUCUGAGAGGACGAUCAGGCACACUGGAACUGAGACACGGUCCAGACACCUACGGGUGGCAGCAGUCGAGAAUCAUUCACAAUGGGGGAAACCCUGAUGGUGCAACGCCGCGUGGAGGAAGAAGGUCUUCGGAUUGUAAACUCCCGUCAUCUAGGAGCAAGGCAUGGUGGUGAAUAGCCAACAUGAUUGAUAGUACUAGAAGAGGAAGGGACGGCUAACUUCGUGCCAGCAGCCGCGGUAAUACGAAGGUCCCGAGCGUUAUUCGGAAUCACUGGGCGUAAAGGGAGCGUAGGCGGCGUGGAAAGUCAGAUGUGAAAUCCCAGAGCUUAACUCUGGAACUGCAUCCGAUACUACCAUGCUAGAGUAUUGGAGGGGUAACUGGAAUUCUCGGUGUAGCAGUGAAAUGCGUAGAUAUCGAGAGGAACACUCGUGGCGAAAGCGAGUUACUGGACAAUUACUGACGCUGAGGCUCGAAGGCUAGGGGAGCAAAAGGGAUUAGAUACCCCUGUAGUCCUAGC